AAAAAAAAAGGUUUAGGAUAUCACAAUAAUGGCUAUCACCAUGAAAUUUUUUGUCACAUUUUUUUUCAUUGCUUUCUUCAUCGUAUCUUCUCUUCACUGUCAUUCAACAACUGCUACUCCUCCAAGCACCAGUUAUGGAAUAAAGCAACAAGAUGUUCAAUGUUUCUAUGGAACAGAAACAUGUCGUCGUAAAGGGAAUCAAGGGUGUGUUAUAUUUUGUCGAGAUCAUGGUUACUUUUAUGGCAUGUGUACUUGGGAUGCAUGUUGUUGUCAUGUUCCAUAUGCAAGCAGAGGUCCAAAAUGAAGUAAUCUAAAUAGAUAAAUGUUUUUAUACAUUUGUUAAAGAUAAGAGCUAUGUAUUUUCAUGUAUUUUGAUUAUAUAUAAAGAAACAUUACAGUGAAAUAAACAAAAUUUACCAAACAUA